rnacentral:rRNA from 1 species
UACGUAGGGUGCAAGCGUUGUCCGGAAUUAUUGGGCGUAAAGAGCUCGUAGGCGGUCUGUCGCGUCUGCUGUGAAAACUCGGGGCUUAACCCCGGGCCUGCAGUGGGUACGGGCAGACUAGAGUGCGGUAGGGGAGACUGGAAUUCCUGGUGUAGCGGUGAAAUGCGCAGAUAUCAGGAGGGACACCGGUGGCGAAGGCGGGUCUCUGGGCCGUAACUGACGCUGAGGAGCGAAAGCGUGGGGAGCGAACAGG